rfam:Gossypium hirsutum cultivar TM-1 chromosome 18, whole genome shotgun sequence
AGUCCAUGAUGAGGACACCUUAUCACUACAUCCUUAAAUCUAUCACAUGUAUUGUAAAGUGUCUCAACGUCAAAUUGAACAAAAGAAGAGAUAUCAUUCCUCAACUU